rnacentral:ncRNA from 1 species
GUGAGUCGUAUGAUGGGCAACUAUCUCCUGCGGUUCGGAGAGGACUUAGCUCUUAGUUAGUACCCCCUUUCAGGGUUGACCUUUCACUCUAU